AUUGAACGCUGGCGGCAGGCUUAACGCAUGCAAGUCGAGCGGAGAUGAGGUGCUUGCACCUUAUCUUAGCGGCGGACGGGUGAGUAAUGCUUAGGAAUCUGCCUAUUAGUGGGGGACAACAUUCCGAAAGGAAUGCUAAUACCGCAUACGUCCUACGGGAGAAAGCAGGGGAUCUUCGGACCUUGCGCUAAUAGAUGAGCCUAAGUCGGAUUAGCUAGUUGGUGGGGUAAGGGCCUACCAAGGCGACGAUCUGUAGCGGGUCUGAGAGGAUGAUCCGCCACACUGGGACUGAGACACGGCCCAGACUCCUACGGGAGGCAGCAGUGGGGAAUAUUGGACAAUGGGGGGAACCCUGAUCCAGCCAUGCCGCGUGUGUGAAGAAGGCCUUAUGGUUGUCAAGCACUUUAAGCGAGGAGGAGGCUACUGAGACUAAUACUCUUGGAUAGUGGACGUUACUCGCAGAAUAAGCACCGGCUAACUCUGUGCCAGCCGCCGCCGUAAAAC
rnacentral:rRNA from 1 species